GAUGAAGAACGCAGCGAAAUGCGAUAAGUAAUGUGAAUUGCAGAAUUCAGUGAAUCAUCGAAUCUUUGAACGCACCUUGCACCCUUUGGCAUUCCGAAGGGUAUGCUCGUUUGAGUGUCAUUGUACUCUCACUCUCCCGAUGCUUUUGGAUCGGGAGUGGUGGACUUGGGUGUUGCUGCUUUGCUGUGGCUCGCCUCAAAUGGAGUAGUGCAACUCUUGGUUGGACAUAGUACGGCGUGAUAAGUGUCUUCGCCGGCGCCUCAUUAUAGAGGGUGGCCGAUCGGGAGCUCUGUGCUUCAAACCGUCUUCGGACAACAUCUGACAACUUGACCUCAAAUCGAGUAGGACUACCCGCUGAACUUAAGCAUAUCAAAAGCGGAGGA
rnacentral:misc_RNA from 1 species